ACUUGACCGUCUUGGCCCGCUUGCUUUUUGUGAGUGAGUGCUGCGAUGAGUCAGGUAUCCUUGUAGAGAGCCGAGCCUAUCCUUCACUGGAUUGGGCACGUGCGAUCUACAUCAUUUACUUUGAAAAAAUUAGAGUGUUUAAAGCAGGCUUAUGCUGUGAAUACAUUAGCAUGGAAUAAUAAUAUAGGACUUCGGUUCUAUUUUGUUGGUUUCUAGGACUGAAGUA
rnacentral:rRNA from 1 species